GGGCCUGUAGCUCAGAGGAUUGGAGCACGUGGCUACGAACCACGGUGUCAAGGGUUCGAAUCCCUCCUCACCCCCA
rnacentral:tRNA from 1 species